rnacentral:rRNA from 1 species
CUAACGUGUAGCCUUAGAAACGCUUAGGUCUUUCGAUUGUUUCACUGGUUUCGAAGAGAAGCAAAGGGAACCAAAGAAUCCAAAGAACCCAACGAAUCGUUGGAAUCCUUGGUUACAUUGGUUGCUUUGGAUUCCUCUUUGAAUUCAUGAAACAUGCGAAAGCCUUUGAGCCUUUCUACGGCUACACGGACAUUGUUUGCUGGGCAGUUUAACUGGGGCGGUUGCCUCCUAAAAAGUAACGGAGGCGCGCAAUGGUCCACUAGCGCCGGAUGGAAAUCGGCGUAGUCGUGUAAUCGCACAAGUGGGCCUAACUGUGAGACGAACAUGUCGAUCAGAAGCGAAAGCUGGUGAUAGUGAUCCGGCAGCCGGACAUAUUUAUAUGUCCUUACCACGUGGGUGGGCUG